CGUCCUUCCUGGGUCCGAACUGCACGGACUCUGCGUCUCUCCCAGGCCGAUGUCCUGAGGUUCCCGCGCCGCAACCAAGCUUUCUGUGACUCGGAGGCCUGGGCGAACUCCAGCGGGGCAGGACACACGGGCCACCUGGAGGAAAGCCUGUGUCCAGCUUCCCCUGCAGUUGGGUCCGGCCCUGUGACCAAGCUCUGGCCCAUGGGACACAAGUGGAAGUGUUCUGUGGAAGUUUCCAGGCAUCUUUUAAGAGAACAGCUGGUCUGUGCCCUUCAACCCUUCUUCCCUCAUUGUGCGGCCUGCAUCAUGGAAGUCAUGGCAGAAGCCCUGACCCCUCUUCUGUCUCUCUCUGUCUCUCUUGAGCUUGAGAUUAGAAGAUUUCCCUUAGGUCAGCAAAAACAAAAGCCAGAAGGAACCCGGGUACCUGAGGACUCCGUGUAACACAACUCUAGUCCUGGUCUGCCUAUGUAAAGAAUUUCAUAGAAAAAUGAAACGAUCU